ensembl:lncRNA
GGAGGACUUUUGCCAGCGGGCCGUGUGCUGCAGGGUUUGUUUGUGUUGGCGGAGCCUCUGAAUCUUCACCACUCGAUAAUGUGACUGGCUUCCCAUGCCCUCCCGGCUUCUUCUGCUCCGUGGGGACUUCUUCUCCAAAAGCAUGCCCGAAAGGAACAUUCAGGUGCACACCCUGCAAUAUCUCUACAAACGUGCUAAUAUCCAUAUCUCUAAUUACCGUGAACCGAGUUAUUCAUGAGACACAUUUUGAAUUUUAAUUCCAAACUACAGCAACACAUUACAUGGUGACUAAACAUUGUUUGUAGUGGUAAUGGAUUAAAGUUUGAAGGUAAAAUUGAAUCCAGAGAGAUGGAUGAUUUUCCUUGUUUAACCUUUUGCUUUGCCAGUAGAAAAUAUAAAAGUGUGAUGAAAAGGCAGAUUGCGGUAGUGAGAAGGAGUGACUUCUGUGAUGUAAUAAUGAGCAAUUGUUAUCCAGGUGACAGAAAAUCCCCUUAUUAUUUCAGUGGUUUAUGGUUGAUGUGACUCUUUCCACAGUGAGCAGAGCAGGCUGGUGGAGGAGUCCCAGUGUCAUAGCUGCAUUCCAGGCUUCUACUGUUCAGAGAUCGGCCUCUCGGUAGUCUCUGGGCCCUGCCUGCCAGGUUUUUACUGUCUAGAGGGAUCCCAGACUGCUGCCCCAAUGUCAAGUGAAUCUGGAAGUGUUUGUCCCGCGGGCCACUACUGCGCAGAGGGCAGCAGCGUUCCCACACCCUGUCCGGCUGGCUCUUACCGGAAUGAGACUGGAGGAAAAAGCAAAGAUUACUGCAAAACAUGUCCUCUUGGUAUUUAAUUAUGAAAUAAUAAUAUUGCGAAUAUAACGGCAUAACUGAUUUAUUUUGUAGUGUAUAAAUGACUCACUGUUUGAAUGUCUUUGAACCAGGCUGGUUCCAGGAUUUAUCGGGCCAAACAGAGUGUGAUCCCUGCCCUGCUGGGUUCCACUGCCAGUACCCGAGUAGCAGCCCCACCAUGGGAGGCCCUACUGGAGUCUCCAGCCCUCUGCCCUGCCCGGCCGGCUACAUAUGUCCCAGGGAGAAUCCAGACAGUCACCCUUUUCCCUGCCCCAAAGGCACCUACAGCCCCCGCCACGGUCUCACCUCCACAGGUGAGUGCUUUGUGUGUCCAGCGGGUCAGUUUUGUGGGUCUGACGGGUUGGUUCAGCCUUCGGGGCCGUGUGCUGCUGGGUUUCUGUGUUUGAUGGGCGCCACAGUGCCCAACCCGACUGACAACAGAACUGGAUCUCUCUGUCCACCCGGGAAAUUCUGCCAACGGGGGCAAACAGCAGGGGAUUGCUGGGCAGGGUUUUAUUGCGACUGGGGCUCCAGCAGAGCAGAUACGGCUCUGUGCCCUGCUGGUUUCUUUUGCCCCAGAGGGACACUGGUCCCAAUCCCUUGUUCUGCAGGAACAUUUAGCUCUGAAACAGGAAACAUACAUCAAGACAAUUGCACUACAUGCACACCUGGGUACUACUGUCAAGGUAGGAAACAAUUUCUAAGAGAGACUUUUUCUUCACAUUCAAUUUUCAAUAACUUACAUUUAUUGAUUGUAAUUCAUUUUACGGCACUGGGCCCAAUGGUUUCUCAUUUAAUUGUUCGCUUUCAAUAUGAUAUGUGUUUAUUCUUGUUGUGGCUCAGUUAA